rnacentral:rRNA from 1 species
GACGAACGCUGGCGGCGUGCCUAAUACAUGCAAGUAGAACGCUGAAGGAGGAGCUUGCUUCUCCGGAUGAGUUGCGAACGGGUGAGUAACGCGUAGGUAACCUGCCUGGUAGCGGGGGAUAACUAUUGGAAACGAUAGCUAAUACCGCAUAACAGUAGAUGUUGCAUGACAUUUGCUUAAAAGGUGCAAUUGCAUUACUACCAGAUGGACCUGCGUUGUAUUAGCUAGUUGGUGAGGUAACGGCUCACCAAGGCGACGAUACAUAGCCGACCUGAGAGGGUGAUCGGCCACACUGGGACUGAGAAAAGGCCCAGACUCCUACGGGAGGCAGCAGGAGGGAAUCUUCGGGAAUGGACGGAAGUCUGACCGAGCAACGCCGCGUGAGGGAAGAAGGGUGUCGGAUCGUAAAGAUCGGUUGUAAGAGAAGAACGAGUGUGAGAGUGGAAAGUUCACACUGUGACGGUAUCUUACCAGAAAGGGACGGCUAACUACGUG